AUUGGGGAUGUGUGUGUGCAACAGUGUUAUUGGGGAUGUGUGUGUGCAACAGUGUUCGCCCACCAUUGCACACACACACACACACACACACACACACACACACACCUCCUUCUCUGGCCAGCAUCCAGUCUAAGACCAUUCUAUUCUGCGUUGCCAUCUUUGAUGUGUGGCAUCCACCUGUUCUCCCAAGGAGGCUAUGUGGAGGAGUGUGUGUGGACAGGGCGUCUGUGGUGUAGUUAAUAAACCGUUGUUGAUUGUAGUAGAUGUAAUGAAUCCACUCCCAUGCUUUGGCGAUGCCCAGGUUGUUAUGAGAGCUUCAAGAAUCCCUCCGUAUAUUUCGCUGCGUGCUUUAUACUCAUGGGGAAAAUACCUCGGGGUUGUCCUAUGCCGUUUUAAGUACACUCUGGGGUCCUUCUCAUAACCACCUACCCCCCCUUUUCCCCCCGUCUAACUCCAGUGUCAACCUUGCAGCUGUUAUUUUCAUAUACUACAAAAGUCUCUUGCAUCGCCAUGACUCGUGCACAUCCCCCGGUCCAGUCUUCUGGAAGGGUGUGGCGUACGUCCCAGUCAGGACCACAGGCCCACCACAUGUCUGCUGGGGGAACAUAUUUGACCUUUGACCCAGCGUCGCAUAGGUAUUAGUAGUCUGAGCUGAACAUAUUUGACCUUUGACCCAGCGAUGCAUAGGUAUUAGUAGUCUGAGCUGAACAUCUUUGACCUUUGACCCAGCGAUGCAUAGGUAUUAGUAGUCUGAGCUGAACAUCUUUGACCUUUGACCCAGCGUCGCAUAGGUAUUAGUAGUCUGAGCUGAACAUCUUUGACCUUUGACCCAGCGUCGCAUAGGUAUUAGUAGUCUGGUUGCCCACAUUGACAUUUAGUCAUUUAGCAGACGCCUUUAUCCAAAGCGACUUACAAGGAUGUAUACACAUUUUUACAUUUACACUGAUGGCACACUGCACAUCAGGAGCAAUUAGGGGUUCAGUGUCUUGCUCAAGGACGCUUCGACAGGGAAUCGAACUAGCAACCUUCUGCUUCCUAAACGACUUCUUUACCUCCUGUACCACUGUCGCCCAUUUAUACCAUGUAUUACCCUGGGCCUGUCUCCCCAGCUAGAAGGGUCCCUCUCCUGUUGGUAAAGAUGGAGAAGGCACGAAAGAAAAGAGAAACGCUACGAACAGCAUCAUACCCACCAGCGGCAGGAGCUUCUGGAGCCCCAGGUCUUUCCGGUUCUGCUUCCCGCUCCUGCUCUAGAUCGUUCCCUUCGGGAACACCCUCAUUUUUGGCAUGCAGCUCAUGCCCUGGCCUGGCUGCCGUCUCUCCUUCUUCCAGUGGCUCUGUGGCUCUGAAGGGGUAUUAAAGGGGGUACCACACCUCUGGUCCCUGCACUCUUACCGCCGUUUGAGUGGCUUCUGUCACCCUGUAUGAUCCCUCGGACCUUGGCUGAAGGCAAGACCUUUUGAACACCUUCAGGUACCCCCAGUCUCCUGGUUGUACUGGCCUUCUGAUUCCUGCCUCCAGGGCCGGUGGUGGUUCCUGCUGCUUCGCCUUCGUGUGUAAAUAACUUUUGUGAAUCAGAGUUGAUUGUUGCACAGAAUGGCAAAGUUCUUUUUUGGAACUGCUCCAGAGGGGGUCCCCUGCUUGGCUCCCUGAUCCGUGGGACUGGCAUUGGUCGCCCUGUAAGAAUCUUGUGAGGGGUGAGGUGUGUGCUGCGGUUUUGCUGCGAGCGCAUUUGCAUUAGAGCAAUGGGCAAAGCAUCCAGCCAGUUGAGGUAAGAGCCGGCACAGAUUUUAGCCAUUUUCAGCAUGGCAUUUGCUCUCUCCGCCAUCCCCUGACUUCGGGCAUCUUUCGCACUUACACAUGUGUAAGUUGCUCCGGUAUCUACCAUUAGUGAAAUUUCUCCGCCCCCAAUUUGAACCUGCAGCGUAGGUUCCUUUGCAGCUCCCCUUGAUAAAUUCGGAAACUGACCCUCCUCGUUAAGAUUCUCUCGCCCCCAUCAAUAGUAAUCGCCCCCCUAAGGGUCCGUUGGGUCCACCCUGCAUCGCAGAGCCGUCUCCCUUUACGGCGGGCAGCCAUUUUGUUGUAAGGCAACCAUUUUGUCACAGAAUCUAACUUGUUUUCAGAUGUCCAUGUCCCAGCGUCAGUAGUUUAAAACACAAUAAUCUCUCCACUUAAAUGGCAACAUCUGGAAAGUGACAACACCCAUACAUCUAAAACUGCUGAAAACAUCAGGAACAUUUAGCAUUUUUAGCUAAAAACAAUAUAAUUCAAUGCAACAUUCACAAAUACAUAUAUA
ensembl:lncRNA